rnacentral:rRNA from 1 species
AACGAACGCUGGCGGCAGGCUUAACACAUGCAAGUCGAACGAUAUAGUGGCAGACGGGUGAGUAACGCGUGGAAACGUGCCUUUCACUACGGAAUAGCUCUUGGAAACGAGUGGUAAUACCGUAUACGCCCUCCGGGGGAAAGAUUUAUCGGUGAAAGAUCGGUCCGCGUUAGAUUAGCUAGUUGGUGGGGUAAUGGCCUACCAAGGCGACGAUCUAUAGCUGGUCUGAGAGGAUGAUCAGCCACACUGGGACUGAGACACGGCCCAGACUCCUACGGGAGGCAGCAGUGGGGAAUAUUGGACAAUGGGCGCAAGCCUGAUCCAGCCAUGCCGCGUGAAUGAUGAAGGCCUUAGGGUUGUAAAAUUCUUUCGCUAGGGAUGAUAAUGACAGUACCUAGUAAAGAAGCCCCGGCUAACUUCGUGCCAGCAGCCGCGGUAAUACGAAGGGGGCUAGCGUUGUUCGGAAUUACUGGGCGUAAAGCGCGCGUAGGCGGGUUAUUAAGUCAGAUGUGAAAUCCCAGGGCUCAACCCUGGAACUGCAUUUGAAACUGAUAGCCUAGAGUUCAGGAGAGGUUAGCGGAAUACCGAGUGUAGAGGUGAAAUUCGUAGAUAUUCGGUGGAACACCAGUGGCGAAGGCGGCUAACUGGACUGAUACUGACGCUGA